CGGGCCGCACAAGCGGAGGAACAUGUGGUUUAAUUCGAUGAUACGCGAGGAACCUUACCGUGGCUUAAAUGUAGAGUGCUAUUUUUUAGGGAUAGAAAUUCCCUUCGGGGCUCUCUGCAAGGUGCUGCAUGGUUGUCGUCAGCUCGUGCCGUGAGGUGUCGGGUUAAGUCCCAUAACGAGCGCAACCCUUAUCGUUAGUUGCCAUCUGGUAAUGCAGGGGACUCUAGCGAAACUGCCACCGUAAGGUGAGAGGAAGGUGGGGAUGACGUCAAAUCAGCACGGCCCUUAUGUCCAGGGCUACACACGUGUUACAAUGGUCGGUACAGAGGGCAGCUACCUGGUGACAGGAUGCUAAUCUCGAAAACCGGUCUCAGUUCGGAUCGAAGUCUGCAACUCGACUUCGUGAAGCUGGAUUCGCUAGUAAUCGCGCAUCAGCUAUGGCGCGGUGAAUACGUUCCCGGGCCUU
rnacentral:rRNA from 1 species